GGGACUACACGGGUAUCUAAUCCUGUUUGCUCCCCACGCUUUCGUGCAUGAGCGUCAGUGUUAUCCCAGGGGGCUGCCUUCGCCAUCGGUAUUCCUCCACAUAUCUACGCAUUUCACUGCUACACGUGGAAUUCUACCCCCCUCUGACACACUCUAGCCGUGCAGUCACAAAUGCAAUUCCCAGGUUGAGCCCGGGGAUUUCACAUCUGUCUUGCACAACCGCCUGCGCACGCUUUACGCCCAGUAAUUCCGAUUAACGCUUGCACCCUACGUAUUACCGCGGCUGCUGGCACCU
rnacentral:misc_RNA from 1 species